rnacentral:tRNA from 1 species
GAGGGUAUAGCUCAGUGGUAGAGUGCAUGCUUAGCAUGCACAGAAUCCUGGGUUCAAUCCCCAGUACCUCCA